rnacentral:rRNA from 1 species
UAUCUCUGUAGAGUCUGCAUAUCAAUAAGCGGAGGAAAAGAAACUAACAUAGGAUUCCCUUAGUAACGGCGAGUGAAGCGGGAAGAGCUCAAAUUUGAAAUCUUCAAGGGUUCUACCUUUACGAAUUGUAGUUUAAAGAAGUGUUUUCUGUUGAGGUUUUGGUAAAAGUUCUUUGGAAUAGGACAUCAUAGAGGGUGAGAAUCCCGUAUUUGACCAUUAUUUCCAGCUUUGUGAUACACUUUCAAAGAGUCGGAUUGUUUGGGAAUGCAGUCCAAAAUGGGUGGUAAAUUUCAUCUAAAGCUAAAUAUUGGCGAGAGACCGAUAGCGAACAAGUACCGUGAGGGAAAGAUGAAAAGAACUUUGAAAAGAGAGUUAAACAGUACGUGAAAUUGUCAAAAGGGAAGCGUUUGACACCAGUGUUGUUUUUCUGAAAAUCAAUUAAAGAACUGUUUAUGCUAAGUUGUUUAGACUUUAUCAGCUAACUGUUUAGUUUUGAGCUUUUCUUUAAUGCACUUUUCAGUUAACAAGUCAACAUCAAUUUCUUUUGCUGUAAUAAAGCUUGAGGAAGGUGGCUUGAGAUUCGUCUUAAGUGUUUAUAGCCUCUUGCCUAUGCAGUCGGAGAGAUUGAGGUCUGCAGCGUAGAUCCUUCGGGGCUAAAUGCAUUUGUGCUAAGUUAUAGCAUUUUAUAGACAACUUGUUGACUAUGAUUUGUCUUGUAGCUUACUCGCUUAUGUUAUUUUACCUACGCUUAGGAUGUUGACGAUCAGCUGAGCGCG